CGGCGGACGGGUGAGUAACGCGUGGGUAACCUGCCCCAUACAGGGGGAUAACAGUUAGAAAUGACUGCUAAUACCGCAUAAGCGCACAGGACCGCAUGGUCAAGUGUGAAAAACUCCGGUGGUAUGAGAUGGACCCGCGUCUGAUUAGCUGGUUGGUGAGGUAACGGCCCACCAAGGCGACGAUCAGUAGCCGACCUGAGAGGGUGGCCGGCCACAUUGGGACUGAGACACGGCCCAAACUCCUACGGGAGGCAGCAG
rnacentral:rRNA from 1 species